rnacentral:rRNA from 1 species
UAAGCAUAUCAAUAAGCGGAGGAAAAGAAACCAACUGGGAUUGCCCUAGUAACGGCGAGUGAAGCGGCAAUAGCUCAAAUUUGAAAUCUGGCUCUCUUUGGGGGUCCGAGUUGUAAUUUGCAGAGGGUGCUUUGGCGUUGACGGCGGUCUAAGUUCCUUGGAACAGGACAUCGCAGAGGGUGAGAAUCCCGUUUGUGGUCGCCAGUCUUCACCGUGUAAAGCCCCUUCGACGAGUCGAGUUGUUUGGGAAUGCAGCUCUAAAUGGGAGGUAAAUUUCUUCUAAAGCUAAAUACCGGCCAGAGACCGAUAGCGCACAAGUAGAGUGAUCGAAAGAUGAAAAGCACUUUGGAAAGAGAGUCAAAUAGCACGUGAAAUUGUUGAAAGGGAAGCGCUUGCAGCCAGACUUGCCUGUAGUUGCUCAUCCGGGCUCUUGCCCGGAGCACUCUUCUGCAGGCAGGCCAGCAUCAGUUUGGGCGGCUGGAUAAAGACCUCUGUCAUGUAUCUUCCUUCGGGAUGACCUUAUAGGGGAGGUGUAAUGCAGUCAGCCUGGACUGAGGUCCGCGCAUUUGCUAGGAUGCUGGCGUAAUGGCUGUAAGCGGCCCGUCUUGAAACACGGACCAAGGAGUCUAACAUCUAUGCGAGUGUUUGGGUGUCAAGCCCGGGCGCGCAAUGAAAGUGAACGGAGGUGGGAACCCUCUCGGGGGUGCACCAUCGACCGAUCCUGAUGUCUUCGGAUGGAUUUGAGUAAGAGCAUAGCUGUUGGGACCCGAAAGAUGGUGAACUAUGCUUGAAUAGGGUGAAGCCAGAGGAAACUCUGGUGGAGGCUCGCAGCGGUUCUGACGUGCAAAUCGAUCGUCAAAUUUGGGCAUAGGGGCGAAAGACUAAUCGAAC